rnacentral:lncRNA from 1 species
CGGGUAUAAUAGGUCUUAUGACAUUCAUUGGUAGCUUGAAGCUGGACUCCAACUGAACAAGGAUCCAUUUUAUCAGAACAACUUAUUUCACUUAUUUUGCCUAAAAAUGAGUUCUUUGAAGUCUUUAGUGGUUUCUAUGAAGAUCACCCACGAAGCCUUCCCGGCGCGGCUGCCGCUUCGCCAACAUCCGCAGCAGCAGGAGCAGGGACCGCCCCCUCCCCGGUACCUUGCCGUGCACUUUUCUCCGCCUCUGCGCCGGGAC